rnacentral:tmRNA from 1 species
GGGGGCGACUGGUUUCGACAUGACAGUUCUGACGGAGGAAGCAGGUCGAGGUCUCCUCACCUCGUUAAACAGGGGUAAAGACGCUCAAGCGUCGACAAUGACUUUGCCCUCGCUGCCUAAUUAGCCAGCGACGCCAACCGGUAUGUGUCCCCGAUACCGCGACGGCGCCACUGAGGGGACUGCUGCGACGGACGUAGACGGUAUGCCGCUCGCAUAAGACCGAACCGACUGGGUGCGGGCACGUGGGUCACCGCAUGUCGCCCAAGCCGAGAUCCAAGUGGUGACUGAGCCUGGAGAUGCCUCCCGGAGGGCUGUUGUGGACGCGAGUUCGACUCUCGCCGCCUCCACCA